rnacentral:rRNA from 1 species
AUUAGCUAGUUGGUGGGGUAACGGCCUACCAAGGCAACGAUGCAUAGCCGACCUGAGAGGGUGAUCGGCCACAUUGGGACUGAGACACGGCCCAGACUCCUACGGGAGGCAGCAGUAGGGAAUCUUCCACAAUGGACGAAAGUCUGAUGGAGCAACGCCGCGUGAGUGAUGAAGGUUUUCGGAUCGUAAAACUCUGUUGUAAGGGAAGAACAAGUACGUUAGGAAAUGAACGUACCUUGACGGUACCUUAUUAGAAAGCCACUGCUAACUACGUGCCAGCAGCCGCGGUAAUACGUAGGUGGCAAGCGUUGUCCUGAUUUAUUGGGCGUAAAGCGCGCGCAGGUGGUUUCUUAAGUCUGAUGUGAAAGCCCACGGCUCAACCCGUGGAGGGUCAUUGGAAACUGGGGAACUUGAGUGCAGAAGAGGAUAGUGG